UGGAUAAACCAGUCAACUAUUUUUUUUUCUGACUAAUUCUGUUCCAAAUUUUUCAAGAUUGAAUAAAUAUGUCAUCUGACGACCCGUCGAAUUUGGCAAAGUAUGGAUGUUUCUUUAUUUUCUUCUGUUUUUUUAACCUAAUAAAAAAAAUUAAUGUUUGUUUUUCAAUCAUUGAUCCUCAAUAUGCAAUUAUUCUCUUUAUACUUUUUUUAUUUAUUUUACUGCUUAUGACAAUAAAGAGCCCCCAUGACAGAGCAACAACGCAAUGUCUUGGAAAUCCGUUCUGUCCAGAAUAACACAUUAAGGUUUGCCAAACGGGAGUCGUCCACACUACAUGAAACCUCUAAGUCCUUCAGCUGGAGUUCUUACUUGAGCUUAUCUGUGUUGAAAGUCGAGGACGGCAGAAGUUAAAAAUAAAGGGGCCGGGCGCUCUGGUCUCUAGACUGGCUACGCUUAAUCUCUUUUCAACAUAACACGCUGUCUAUAUUGUUCCUGGAAUGUCCCAGAAACUACAAGCAGAAACGCCACUUGUUGACCCACUUGAAAUUUGAAUGUGGCAAAGAGCCGAAGUUAUUCUGCCAGUACUACCCUAACAAGACGGGGCUCGAGUCCUCAAAGUCCCGCUUCACGCUGAAGCACUAGAACAUUUUGAUUUAAGCUGUUUGUUCCAGGAAGGCACCAAUGUCCAAAAUGUCCCAGAAACUACAAGUGGAAGUACGACUUGUUGGCCCACUUGAGGGUGGAGUGUGGCAAAGAGCCGAAGUUUUCCUGCCAGUUCUGCCCUUACAAGGCAAAGCGCAAGUCCUCUUUGAAGUCCCACAUCGCACUGAAGCACUCGAACAUUUCAAUUUAAGCUAUAAGCCCGUCAAAUAUUUUUUUGU